AGAACGAACGCUGGCGGCAGGCUUAACACAUGCAAGUCGAACGCUCUUGGGGCUUCGGUCUCAGGGGAGUGGCGCACGGGUGAGUAGCGCGUGGGAACCUGCCCUGUUGUGGGGGAUAACCGAGGGAAACUUCGGCUAAUACCGCAUAAGCCGGUUGUCUUGAAGGAGAUGGCCGGGAAAGAUUUAUCGCGACAGGAGGGGCCCGCGUCGGAUUAGCUAGUUGGUGGGGUAACGGCCCACCAAGGCGGUGAUCCGUAGCUGGUCUGAGAGGAUGAUCAGCCACACUGGGACUGAGACACGGCCCAGACUCCUACGGGAGGCAGCAGUGGGGAAUAUUGGACAAUGGGCGCAAGCCUGAUCCAGCAAUGCCGCGUGAGUGAUGAAGGCCUUAGGGUUGUAAAGCUCUUUCGCCCGCGACGAUGAUGACGGUAGCGGGAGAAGAGCCCGCUAACUCGUGCCAGCAGCCGC
rnacentral:rRNA from 1 species